rnacentral:rRNA from 1 species
UGGAAAUCUGAUCCAGCCAUGCCGCGUGCAGGAAGAAUGUCCUAUGGAUUGUAAACUGCUUUUGUAUGGGAGCAAUAAGGCCUUCGUGAAGGCUGAUGAGAGUACCAUACGAAUAAGCAUCGGCUAACUCCGUGCCAGCAGCCGCGGUAAUACGGAGGAUGCGAGCGUUAUCCGGAUUUAUUGGGUUUAAAGGGUGCGUAGGCGGAAUGAUAAGUCAGUGGUGAAAGUUUUCGGCUCAACCGGAAAAUUGCCGUUGAUACUGUCAUUCUGGAAUAUGGUUGCUGUGGGCAGAAUGUGUGGUGUAGCGGUGAAAUGCAUAGAUAUCACACAGAAUACCGAUUGCGAAGGCCGCUCACAAAGCCAAUAUUGACGCUGAGGCACGAAAGUGUGGGGAUCAAACAGGAUUAGAUACCCUGGUAGUCC